AUUGAACGCUGGCGGCAUGCUUUACACAUGCAAGUCGAACGGUAACAGGCCGCAAGGUGCUGACGAGUGGCGAACGGGUGAGUAAUGCAUCGGAACGUGCCCAGUCGUGGGGGAUAACUACUCGAAAGAGUAGCUAAUACCGCAUACGAUCUAUGGAUGAAAGCGGGGGACCGUAAGGCCUCGCGCGAUUGGAGCGGCCGAUGUCAGAUUAGGUAGUUGGUGGGGUAAAGGCUCACCAAGCCAACGAUCUGUAGCUGGUCUGAGAGGACGACCAGCCACAGUGGGCUUGAGCAGCGGCCCAGCCUCAUACGGGAGGCGGGAGGGGGGAAUUUGGGAAAGGGGGCGAAAGCUGGACCAAGCAAGCCCGCGGGAAGAAAGAGGUCUUUGGGUUUUAAACUGUUUUUUGUCGGAACGAAAACGUCUGGGGUAAAUCCCGGGGGCAAAGGAGGUACCGGAAAAAAAAGCCCCCGCCAAACUCCGGG
rnacentral:rRNA from 1 species